GACGAACGCUGGCGGCGUGCUUAACACAUGCAAGUCGAACGAAGUGGCGAACGGGUGAGUAACGCGGAAUAAACCUGCCCUUCAGAGGGGGACAACAGUUGGAAACGACUGCUAAUACCGCAUACUGAAGGAGGGGAUUGCGUCGGAUUAGCUAGCUGGAGUGGUAACGGCCCACCAAGGCGAUGAUCAGUAGCCGGGCGGAGAGGAGGGACGACCAACAUGGGACUGGGAAACGGGCCAGGAUCCUGAGGGAGGCAGCAGGGGGGAACCUUCGGCCAUGGGCGAAAGUCUGACGGAGCAACGCAGCGUGAGUGAUGACGGCCUUCGGGUUGUAAAGCUCUGUUAAUCGGGGCGCGGUACCGGAAUAGAAAGCCACGGCUAACUACGUGCCAGCAGCCGCGGUAAUUC
rnacentral:rRNA from 1 species